UCUCUCUCUCUCUCUCUCUCAAUAUGUGUGUGUGUGUCUCUUUCCAUGUUCACCAUUUUUGCUCAAGCUUCAAGCUUGAAAUGGGAGUCUUUAGAGUAGAUUUUGUAACAGUGUUAUAAAUGAAAGUUGGAGAGCUUGUCAUGAUCUUCGCAAUGGUAGUCUCGGAUUCAUGAUCGGGCAAGAUUUGCCUUCCAGAUCUGCUUUUCUUCAUUAUUUGAGGGAAUGCUUUUCGGAUUUGAAGAUCAAACCAUGGGUUUUACCAUUUCAUAAGUGUAAUAUAGUAAUGGAUUGUACUACUUCACUUGUCGUUUGGCAGAGUACUAGGCAAUAGCGUGGAUGGACUUUCGGGAAGCAAGACCUUCUUAAUUAUGUUUUGUUGUGUGCAUGUUGGCAUUUGUAAAGCCAAGGGCUUAAGAUGUAAUGAGCGAGACUUAAUUUGUGUAACCAAGCAAUGACUUGGAAAGAUGUAAGACAUGGCAUUUAACAGGUUGUUAAACAGUAGACUCUGAUGUAUGAAAGUAUGUUAUUUCUCAUAUUUAUUCCGCAUAUGAGUUAUCUUUAUU